ACAUCCCGGAGACCCUUAGGAAACUAGGGGUGCUUCCAUCUGGAAGGAAAUCUGGAGACAGGUGCUGCAUGGCUGUCGUCAGCUCGUGUCGUGAGAUGUUGGGUUAAGUCCCGCAACGAGCGCAACCCUUGCCUUUAGUUGCCAGCAGUUCGGCUGGGCACUCUAAAGGGACUGCCGGUGUUAAACCGGAGGAAGGUGGGGAUGACGUCAAGUCCUCAUGGCCUUUAUGACCAGGGCUACACACGUACUACAAUGGCCGAUACAAAGGGCAGCGACACUGCGAGGUGAAGCCAAUCCCGUAAAAUCGGUCUCAGUCCGGAUUGGAGUCUGCAACUCGACUCCAUGAAGUUGGAAUCGCUAGUAAUCGUGGAUCAGCAUGCCACGGUGAAUACGUUCCCGGGCCUU
rnacentral:rRNA from 1 species